rnacentral:rRNA from 1 species
AUGUUCCCAAAUUCUUUGGAGGACAUGGACCUGGCUGUUCGCACGGCGCUGCUGGGCUUGAAGUUCGUGUAUGUUGGCGCCGUCAAAGUCAAGAGUGAGCUCCCAAGCACAAUCAAGGCAUACCGAUUUCAACAGCACAGGUGGUCAUGUGGACCAGCAAACUUGUUCAAGAAAAUGUUGAUAGAGAUUCUACAGAACAAGAAAGUGUCAUUUUGGAGCAAACUCCACCUGUUGUAUGACUUCUUCUUCGUUGGGAAGAUUGCUGCUCAUACAGUGACAUUCAUCUACUAUUGCUUUGCGAUCCCAGUGUCCGUUUUCUUCCCUGAGAUUCAGAUAUCUCUCUGGGGCAUGGUCUACGUUCCAACUGUUAUCACCCUCUGUAAGGCUCUUGGAUCCAGUGGUUCAUUUCAUCUGGUGAUCGUUUGGGUCCUCGAUAAUGUGAUGUCAUUGCACCAGAUAAAGGCCACAAUAACUGGUCUUCUUGAUGCUAGACGAGUCAAUGAGUGGGUGGUCACUGAGAAAUUGGGAGAUGCCAACAAGGCAGAGCCAGCCAUGGAAGGAUUAAAUGAUGUGCAAGUGAUAGACGUCGAGCUAACGACGCCCCUAGUACCAAAGCUCGAGAAGAGGCGAACACGAGUAUGGGACAAGUACAACUGCUCAGAGAUUUUUGUUGGAACCUGCAUAAUUAUAUGUGAGUGCUACGACAUGAUUUACGCAAAGAAAGGAUACUACAUCUACCUCUUCAUUCAAGGCCUAGCAUUCCUCGUCGUCGGUUUUGAGUACAUCGGCACAUGCCCUCCCAGCGCCGAAUAA